rnacentral:rRNA from 1 species
GCGUAAUAGCUCACUGAUCGAGUCGUCCUGCGCGGAAGAUGUAACGGGGCUAAGCCAGUCACCGAAGCUGCGGAUAUCCGCAAGGAUAUGGUAGGAGAGCGUUCUGUAAGCCUGUGAAGGUGUCUUGUAAAGGAUGCUGGAGGUAUCAGAAGUGCGAAUGCUGACAUGAGUAGCGAUAAUGGGGGUGAAAAGCCCCCACGCCGUAAGCCCAAGGUUUCCUGUUCAACGUUCAUCGGAGCAGGGUGAGUCGGCCCCUAAGGCGAGGCAGAGAUGCGUAGCUGAUGGGAAGCAGGUUAAUAUUCCUGCACCGUCGUAUGAUGCGAUGGGGGGACGGAUCGCGGAAGGUUGUCUGACUGUUGGAAUAGUCAGUUUCUGCUUCAUAGAAGGCGCUUAGGCAAAUCCGGGCGCGUAAUUCAAGGGAGUGGGACGAGCGGCCUUGUGCUGCGAAGCAAUCGGAAGUGGUUCCAAGAAAAGCCUCUAAGC